rnacentral:piRNA from 1 species
UGACAGAUCCUUGAGGUGUCUGUGUCUGC